UCCUACGGGAGGCAGCAGUAGGGAAUCUUCCGCAAUGGACGAAAGUCUGACGGAGCAACGCCGCGAGAGUGAUGAAGGCUUUCGGGUCGUAAAACUCUGUUGUUAGGGAAGAACAAGUGCUAGUUGAAUAAGCUGGCACCUUGACGGUACCUAACCAGAAAGCCACGGCUAACUACGUGCCAGCAGCCGCGGUAAUACGUAGGUGGCAAGCGUUAUCCGGAAUUAUUGGGCGUAAAGCGCGCGCAGGUGGUUUCUCAAGUCUGAUGUGAAAGCCCACGGCUCAACCGUGGAGGGUCAUUGGAAACUGGGAGACUUGAGUGCAGAAGAGGAAAGUGGAAUUCCAUGUGUAGCGGUGAAAUGCGUAGAGAUAUGGAGGAACACCAGUGGCGAAGGCGACUUUCUGGUCUGUAACUGACACUGAGGCGCGAAAGCGUGGGGAGCAAACAGGAUUAGAUACCCUGGUAGUCCACGCCGUAAACGAUGAGUGCUAAGUGUUAGAGGGUUUCCGCCCUUUAGUGCUGAAGUUAACGCAUUAAGCACUCCGCCUGGGGAGUACGGCCGCAAGGCUGAAACUCAAAUGAAUU
rnacentral:rRNA from 1 species